AUCCUCAGGCCAUGCGCUGCUGAGCCUUCAGCACCAUGCCCUGGCAGCUCCGAUCUUCAAUGCUGUAACGCGCUUGUCGCGUUGAUCGAACCAGUCCGCUUCGCAUCUACCUGUGCGGACACUCGCCACGCUGGCGAUGAUGC
rfam:Candidatus Accumulibacter sp. 66-26 scnpilot_expt_750_p_scaffold_332, whole genome shotgun sequence.